rnacentral:rRNA from 1 species
CGGCCGGACAAGUCCGUUGGGAAAUCCACGCGCUCAACGCGUGGGCGUCCAGCGGAAACUGUCCGGCUUGGGGCCGGAGGACUCGAGGGGUACGUCCGGGGUAGGAGUGAAAUCCUGUAAUCCUGGACGGACCACCGGUGGCGAAAGCGCCUCGAGAAGACGGACCCGACGGUGAGGGACGAAAGCUAGGGUCUCGAACCGGAUUAGAUACCCGGGUAGUCCUAGCCGUAAACGAUGCCCGCUAGGUGUGGCGCAGGCUACGAGCCUGCGCUGUGCCGUAGGGAAGCCGAGAAGCGGGCCGCCUGGGAA